CCCCACCCCACACCCUUUGCCUUUAUCUCCCACCUUUUAUGGUUUGACAGGACAGAUGAACCAUCAGACUGUGCUGCCAUCAAAUAACUGGAGGAAACAGCCAAAGACAGUCUAUUUGAACUUCUGAAAGUUAUGAUUUAUAUAGAGUAUCCAUUAUUAAAACCUGCAGCUAGAAAUGAUUCAGCUGCCAGAACUAUGCCGGUUUUGAAUUUUCAUGUCGAAGAAAUCUAUUAAUGCUAAAGUUACUUUUUUUUUUUUUUUUAAAAAAAAAGAAACUGUGCAGAAUGACUCGGAAGCUGACACUAAUGAAUUUCAAUUGUACAGGUGUGAUUACUGUGGUCAGCAUCUAGAAAACAGAAGCACUCCCGCCUCCUCUGUGCUACAUCCUUCUUACUGGAUCUUUCUAUCAGUGAACAUUGUGGAAGUACCAUUACUACAUCGUCAUUCCUGAAGGAAAAGUUGCCAAACUUUUUUCUUUGGAGUUGCUUCAAAGUUGUUGGGAUUUUUGAUGAUGCCUCCCCUAUGUGGAUUACUACUGUUUGAACACUGGGAAUUCUCCAUCUUAAAGAAGAUGCUUUUGCUAUCUGGAAACUUAUGCCCACGUCUGUGACUGCGGGUCAGAAUUGCUUUCCUCACAUUCUGAUUGGGAGAGUUGUUAAACAUUGGAAUGUCCUUCUGAGCUGGGCUGUGGAAUGUCAUCGCUCCCAGGUGACUACAGAAGCCUCGACACCCAGCGUGGUCAGGCUCCUGUGUCCAAAGUCAUGAAAUCCUCCAGGACCAUGGAAGAGUUUCAAACUAUUGCUGCGGAAGACGAAGCGUUGUACAAGGGCUGCAUGACAUGUAUUCUUGGAGAUACAGCUUGCAACUCCGCAUGCGUAAAAGGGAAUCACAGCUGCUUAUCUGAAACGUCUUCAUCAUCCAUUUGGAAAUGAAGGAUUCCGCCUGCUCUACUUCCAUCACCACAGGAAGCCACACCCAGCUGACUUCUCAGUCCAGACUUGUUCUCAAGGUCACCUAUGUAAUUUUUUUUUUCCCCCUGAAGCCUCAGUGUUCUUCGUCUUCUCGGAGAUAAUAGCCCUAAGCCCUUCAGUCAUCAUUUCCUUGUCCUCAAUUUUCUUCCUGGCUUCCUGCAAUUUUAAUCCCAAGCCCCUGCAAUUCCUUGCCUUGGAGGUUUAAGUGGCCCCAUUUACAACCGAUUUUCAGCUAAUAUUUGAUGCAUUCUUUUCAAAUAAACCAAACUGUCCUCCUCUGCA
rnacentral:lncRNA from 1 species